rnacentral:rRNA from 1 species
GAUGAACGCUGGCGGCGUGCCUAAUACAUGCAAGUCGAACGCGCAGCGAAAGGUGCUUGCACCUUUCAAGCGAGUGGCGAACGGGUGAGUAACACGUGGAUAACCUGCCUCAAGGCUGGGGAUAACAUUUGGAAACAGAUGCUAAUACCGAAUAAAACUUAGUAUCGCAUGAUACAAAGUUAAAAGGCGCUACGGCGUCACCUAGAGAUGGAUCCGCGGUGCAUUAGUUAGUUGGUGGGGUAAAGGCUUACCAAGACAAUGAUGCAUAGCCGAGUUGAGAGACUGAUCGGCCACAUUGGGACUGAGACACGGCCCAAACUCCUACGGGAGGCUGCAGUAGGGAAUCUUCCACAAUGGGCGCAAGCCUGAUGGAGCAACGCCGCGUGUGUGAUGAAGGCUUUCGGGUCGUAAAGCACUGUUGUAUGGGAAGAACGGGUUUAAGAGGAAAUGCUUAAGCAGUGACGGUACCAUACCAGAAAGGGACGGCUAAAUACGUGCCAGCCGCCGCCGUA